AAACACCCUAACAAAACCAUGGGCUUUGGUGGAAUCUUCCAUUUUUAUAAAAUCCGGCCAAACAUAGAGUGAGAAUUAUAUAUAGAGACGAAAAAAUCGGAGCAGAAAUUAUCAAUGGAGAACAUAGAGAGUGUAGCAAAAGCUGCAGUGGAGAAAUUGAAGGAGAUGAAUAUGGUGGAAAACGCAAAGGAGAUCGUCUUAAAAACGACGCCGUCGUUUGUAUCGGAAUAUGCACGGAUCUUAUUCAAUUGGUUAUCGGGAAAUUUGAAGCAGAUUGCCGUGAAAAUGAUGCCGGUCGUGCGAAUUUCAUCCGACUGGCUACUGAAAAAUACGAAGGAGAUUAUCGUGAAAACGGCGCCGUUUGUACGAACCUCAUCUCACUGGUUACUGGAAAAAGCUCCUCCACUGAAUUCGAUCCGAGAAACUCCACUGUAUAUCUCCAUUCCAAUCGGAUUUCUGCUGAUUUUGUUCCUCCGCCGGUGCUUCAGCGGCGGCGACGGCGGCGGAAAUGGGAAGACGAUGAAAGCUCCGGGAAGGAAUAAUGUAAGGAUACAAAGGCGUGAUUUUGAAAGCAGUCCUAAAUCCUAUUUCCGCAAUCUCCGCUCGCGGAAAUAACUAAUUUCGCAAGAGUGAUGGAAUUUGGAAGAGGUGAAUUGAAGGUAAGAGGCAAAGCAGUAAUUGAGAAGAUGAAAUCAAUAGAAGAUAUUUUGAAGAUGUUUAUGGAAUCCCCAGUAGGAUUUGUCAUUUCAAUUGGGUUGAUGGUGAUUUUGUUGUCCUUAAUUUGUCGUUGCUGCUGCAGAGAAAAUAAUAAAAGGAGAAAUGUAAUUCAU
rnacentral:misc_RNA from 1 species